rnacentral:lncRNA from 1 species
GGUCGCCUCCGGUUUGACGAUGACCCCAGUGUUUAUAUAAUCUUUCUCUUUUCCAUUUGACGAUUUUCAGUCCCCCCCCCCAAGAAAAAAAAACCAAGAUCUUCAUCAAUGGUAAGUGUGAAGUUAUUUGAAUGCUCUCCUUUUCAGAUUAGACAACCUAAAAAAUUAAGGUCAUCAUUUUGAAAUUUUUUUUUUGAUCGUAGUAGUCAAAACUUUAUCUCAUCUUCUAUUCGUGAAUCUGCAUCACGAUCACCUCACGAACUCUCCUACCAUGGAUGCUCUUAUUUCUCACCAACACAGGUGUGCUUCAGAGGCAGAAAGCUAUAAAAGAAUGGUUUGGAAUACAUAGCUCAUACGCCAGAGUAAGAGAAUAAGAAACAAGGCAGACGCUCUUUUAUUCUUUUGGUAUUCCUUUUAGAUUAGACCAAUACUUGUAACCUGUUGUGGAGAUGUUUUGAUGGUACUAUGGUAUUGGUAAUCGAAAUAAAUUGUUCAAUUUUUCU